rnacentral:rRNA from 1 species
ACGGGUGAGUAACGCGUUGGUGACCUACCCCAAAGUGUGGGAUAACAGUCCGAAAGGAUUGCUAAUACCGCAUGUGGUCAUUGGAUUUAGAAACUGAUGACUAAAGGAGCAAUUCGCUUUGGGAGGGACCUGCGUCCCAUCAGCUAGUUGGUGAGGUAACGGCCCACCAAGGCUACGACGGGUAGGGGACCUGAGAGGGUGGCCCCCCACAAUGGAACUGAAAUACGGUCCAUACACCUACGGGUGGCAGCAGUAGGGAAUAUUGGGCAAUGGGCGAAAGCCUGACCCAGCAACGCCGCGUGUGUGAUGAAGGCCUUCGGGUCGUAAAGCACUUUUCUGGGAGAUGAGAAAGGACAGUAUCCCAGGAAUAAGUCUCGGCUAACUACGUGCCAGCAGCCGCGGUAAAACGUAGGAGGCGAGCGUUAUCCGGAUUCACUGGGCGUAAAGCGCGUGCAGGUGGCGCGGUAAGUUGGGCGUGAAAUCUCCCGGCUCAACUGGGAGAGGUCGUUCAAUACUACCGUGCUUGAGAGCAGAAGAGGAAGAUGGAAUUCCCGGUGUAGUGGUGAAAUGCGUAGA